rnacentral:rRNA from 1 species
GACGAACGCUGGCGGCGUGCUUAACACAUGCAAGUCGAACGGAAAGGCCUGCUUUCCCUUGUGGAUUGCGGGUACUCGAGUGGCGAACGGGUGAGUGACACGUGAGUGAUCUGCCCCCAACUUGGGUAUAAGCCUGGGAAACUGGGUCUAAUUCCCGAUAGGACUGCAGGGUGGUGCCUGUGGUGGAAAACGAUUUUCUAGUGGUUGGGGAUGAGCUCGCGGCCUAUCAGCUUGUUGGUGGGGUAAUGGCCUACCAAGGCGGCGACGGGUAGCCGGCCUGAGGGGGUGGACGGCCACAUUGGGACUGAGAUACGGCCCAGACUCCUACGGGAGGCAGCAGUGGGGAAUAUUGCACAAUGGGCGGAAGCCUGAUGCAGCGACGCCGCGUGGGGGAUGACGGCCUUCGGGUUGUAAACUCCUUUCGACCGCGAGGAAGCCACCUGGUUGGAAGGGUGGUGACGGUAGUGGUAGAAGAAGCACCGGCUAACUACGUG